rnacentral:rRNA from 14 species
CUGCAACUCGACCCCAUGAAGUUGGAAUCGCUAGUAAUCGCGGAUCAGCAUGCCGCGGUGAAUACGUUCCCGGGCCUUGUACACACCGCCCGUCACACCAUGGGAGUUGGUUCUACCCGAAGGCGAUGCGCUAACCGCAAGGAGGCAGUCGACCACGGUAGGGUCAGCGACUGGGGUGAAGUCGUAACAAGGUAGCCGUAGGGGAACCUGCGGCUGGAUCACCUCCUU